rnacentral:rRNA from 1 species
ACGGGUGAGUAAUACAUCGGAACAUGUCCUGUAGUGGGGGAUAGCCCGGCGAAAGCCGGAUUAAUACCGCAUACGAUCUACGGAUGAAAGCGGGGGACCUUCGGGCCUCGCGCUAUAGGGUUGGCCGAUGGCUGAUUAGCUAGUUGGUGGGGUAAAGGCCUACCAAGGCGACGAUCAGUAGCUGGUCUGAGAGGACGACCAGCCACACUGGGACUGAGACACGGCCCAGACUCCUACGGGAGGCAGCAGUGGGGAAUUUUGGACAAUGGGCGAAAGCCUGAUCCAGCAAUGCCGCGUGUGUGAAGAAGGCCUUCGGGUUGUAAAGCACUUUUGUCCGGAAAGAAAUCCUUGGUUCUAAUAUAGCCGGGGGAUGACGGUACCGGAAGAAUAAGCACCGGCUAACUACGUGCCAGCAGCCGCGGUAAUACGUAGGGUGCAAGCGUUAAUCGGAAUUACUGGGCGUAAAGCGUGCGCAGGCGGUUUGUUAAGACCGAUGUGAAAUCCCCGGGCUCAACCUGGGAACUGCAUUGGUGACUGGCAAGCUAGAGUAUGGCAGAGGGGGGUAGAAUUCCACGU